AUAUUAUGGCUAGGGCUUCUUGUUUGCCGCAUGUCUGCCUUUGAUAAGAACAAUAGUGAGUUCACCGUUUAUAGCAUUAUGUAAUGUUGUUAAACAAGUUGUUUUUAUGUCCAUUUAAUCAAGAAUAAGGAUUGCUAGGUAGCUUUUAAGUCCUGAUUAAUUCCUAUACUGAUUUUAAUCUGUGCCACAUUUUAAAUCUGGAAUUGUCACAUAGCUAUGUUCAUAUCAGUAAUAAGAUUUUUAUAUUUCUAUUUUUGUCUGUUUUUUGUAAAACAAUAUCAGCCAUUGGCUUCUGUUUUGUAUUUGAUUUAAACUUAAAUAAUUCAGAGAUUCAGUUGAAACAAAUUCAGUUAUGAAUGCACUAAAUAAGCAUGGAAUCAGAAUACAUACUUCAGGAUCUUCGAAGAUACAGUAUAUACUCAGACUUCUUCAAUCCAGUCAAGAUGCACAAAGACAGCAAGAAGAUAAUGUUAAAGAAGGGAGUACUCUAUAUCACCUAAAUCUUCGAAACUCUACAUUGGACAGGAAAGGGAAUCAUCAUAAACGGUGAACAUUUAAAUCAUCUGAGAUUCGCAGAUGAUAUUGUAAUUAUAUCAAAAAACAUCAGUAACCUUGAGGUCACAAUGAUCCAAGAACUAGAUGUGGCCAGCAGACUAACUGGGUUAAAAACGAAUGAGAAAUACGAAAGUCAUGACAGGACUAACAACCGAUCCAAAAAAGAUUCAGGUGAGGGGAACUGAAAUAGAACAGGUAGAAGAGUAUAUAUAUCAUGGACAGCGCUUUGUGAACAAAGUCAAGACAACGAAAUAAGAAUUAAAGCAGGUUGGCAAGUUAUGGAAGAUACGGCUCCUUAUGAAAAGCAGGCAUCAACACAGCAUAACAUGGAAAGAUAUAUACUAAACAUUACUUAUAAAGACAGAAAAACAAAUGGAUUAGAGAACAGACACAAGUACAAGACAUUCUCAAAACCAUCAAGAGCAGAAAAUGGAACUGGGCUGGACACACCAGCCGUAGACAUGACGGGCGGUGGAGCUUGCUACUCGCAUACAUAUGAGAUAAAAUAGAAGUGAAAUGAUACCAAAGGGCACAAAAGAGACAUUAACUGGAGAAUACAUACAUAAGCUUUCAUUCUGCAGUGGAUAGAUAAUGCCUAAAAAAGUAAAGUAAAAUUGAUACAGCAACAGGUCUACUCAAGUUGAUGGUAUGCUGUUUAUAUAUAGCUGUGCCUCAUUUAACUGAAUAUAUAAGCAUGUAGUCAAGAAAAUGAAAGAUGAAAAUCAGCUUCUACUAAAGAAACCCAGAUUAAUGUGAAAUACGAUGAUCUUUUGAAAAUAUUGAGGUGUUUUAAAAACGCAAAAUUGUACCCGUCAGUGGAAAGUAAGAGUGAUCAGCAUAUAAAAGGCUAAAGGACCCAGAUUGAGGCUCUAGUCAGCACAUUGGUUCAGAUCUUGCUGUGGGACAUGCCAGACCCUUCAAGCUUAUGGAGCCACCACUGACAAGGAUAAUAUCGAAUGCUGUUUGUAUACAUGAGAGCCCUAAUCACAUGUGUGAGGGUCCCUAUCAUAUUUAAUGAUGUUGGUAAAGUAUGUAUUAGGACCCUAAUCAUUGAAUGUUUUGUACAGUGUAUAAUAAUUAUAUUAACUAUAAUCAUUUAAUAUGUUGUAUGUAUGAGGGCUACAAUUAUUUAAUGAGUAUUGUAUGUAUAAGGACCAUAGUCAUGGUAUCGUAGUGUUUGAGGACCCAAAUCAUAGUGAAUCAUACUUUUGUAUGUGUGAGGACCAUCCAUCCACAUUGUUGGAUGAGUCACCCUCUUUAAGAUGGUCUUAAAUGAGUAAAUAAAUAUGUAUUGCUCUGAGUAAAUAAAUGAAGGCAGUCAUUUUGAAAAAAAAAAGCAUUCUAGGUUUUUGAAUUUCUGUUUAAGCUUAAUUUU